rnacentral:rRNA from 1 species
GAUGAACGCUGGCGGCGUGCCUAAUACAUGCAAGUCGAGCGAACAGACGAGGAGCUUGCUCCUCUGACGUUAGCGGCGGACGGGUGAGUAACACAUGGAUAACCUACCUAUAAGACUGGGAUAACUUCGGGAAACCGGAGCUAAUACCGGAUAAUAUAUUGAACCGCAUGGUUCAAUAGUGAAAGACGGUUUUGCUGUCACUUAUAGAUGGAUCCGCGCCGCAUUAGCUAGUUGGUAAGGUAACGGCUUACCAAGGCAACGAUGCGUAGCCGACCUGAGAGGGUGAUCGGCCACCCUGGAACUGAGACACGGUCCAGACUCCUACGGGAGGCAGAAGUAGGGAAUCUUCCGCAAUGGGCGAAAGCCUGACGGAGCAACGCCGCGUGAGUGAUGAAGGUCUUCGGAUCGUAAAACUCUGUUAUUAGGGAAGAACAAAUGUGUAAGUAACUAUGCACGUCUUGACGGUACCUAAUCAGAAAGCCACGGCUAACUACGUGCCAGCCGCCGCCGUAA